UACGUAGGGUGCAAGCGUUAAUCGGAAUUACUGGGCGUAAAGCGUGCGCAGGCGGUUUUGUAAGCCAGAUGUGAAAUCCCCGGGCUUAACCUGGGAAUGGCAUUUGGGACUGCAAGGCUUGAGUGCGGCAGAGGAGACUGGAAUUCCUGGUGUAGCAGUGAAAUGCGUAGAUAUCGCUUGGAACGCCGAAGGUGAAAACAGGUUGCUGGGGUUGUGCCGACGCUGAGACACGAAAGCCAGGGGAGCAAACGGG
rnacentral:rRNA from 1 species